rnacentral:rRNA from 1 species
GACGAACGCUGGCGGCGUGCUUAACACAUGCAAGUCGAACGAAAAGGCCCUGCUUUUGUGGCGUGCUCGAGUGGCGAGCGGGUGAGUAACACGCGAGUAACCUGCCCUUGAAUUACGGAUAACUUCAGGAAACUGGGGCUAAUACCGGAUAUGAGCUACUGCUGCACGUUGGGGGAUAGUAAGUUUCGGCGGUUGGGGAUAGACUCGCGGCUUAUCCGCUUGUUGGUGGGGUAGUUGCUUACCAAGGCUUUGACGGGUAGCCGGCCUGAGAGGGUUAACGGCCACAAUGGGACUGAGAUACGGCGCAGUAGCCUACGGGAGGCAGCAGUGGGGAAUAUUGCACAAUGGGCGGAAGCCUGAUGCAGAAACGCCGCGUGCGGGAUGACGGCCUUCGGGGUGUAAACCGCUGUCGACGGUGACGAAGCGGGAGUGACGGUAAUGGGUAAAGAAGCACCGGCUAACUACGUG